rnacentral:snRNA from 1 species
GAGUGUGAGGGCAACCUGGCUGCAACAUCUGUCACCCAAUUGAUCACCAGGGUUGAUUUGAGUGAUAGGCAGUGUCUCCUUCCUCCUUCAACACCUCAGGUGUGUACCCAAAGCUGUUCACUUGGUGGAAGGGGAGGACCACCCCCAAUGGAGGAAAAGUUGCAGUCAAGGUUGUAGAGAAACUGGGCUCCCUUGCUAGAACUUCCAAAUAAGCUCUCAAAAUUGAAGUAGAAAUUGAGAUAUUCUGAGGUGACAAAGACAAAGAAUUUGCACUAGCUCUCUUGUUCUACAAGAAAUACUAAAGU